CGGGGGGUGCUAACGUUGUCCGGAAUUACUGGGCGUAAAGAGCAUGUAGGUGGUUUUGUAAGUCUGUGAUGAAAGACCGACGCUUAACGUCGGAACCGUUGCAGAUACUGCAUAACUUGAGGAAAACAGGGGUAAGCGGAACUUUCGGUGUAGGAGUGAAAUCCGUAGAUAUCGAAAGGAACACCAAUGGCGAAGGCAGCUUACUGGGUUUUACCUGACACUGAGAUGCGAAAGCGUGGGGAGCAAACGGGAUUAGAUACCCCGGUAGUCCACGCUGCAAACGUUGCUCACUAGGUCUUGGAGGGUAUCGACCCCCUUUUGGACCGAAGCUAACGCGUUAAGUGAGCCGCCUGGGGAGUACGAACGCAAGUUUA
rnacentral:rRNA from 1 species